GUCGAGCGAACGGACGAGAAGCUUGCUUCUCUGAUGUUAGCGGCGGACGGGUGAGUAACACGUGGAUAACCUACCUAUAAGACUGGGAUAACUUCGGGAAACCGGAGCUAAUACCGGAUAAUAUUUUGAACCGCAUGGUUCAAAAGUGAAAGACGGUCUUGCUGUCACUUAUAGAUGGAUCCGCGCUGCAUUAGCUAGUUGGUAAGGUAACGGCUUACCAAGGCAACGAUGCAUAGCCGACCUGAGAGGGUGAUCGGCCACACUGGAACUGAGACACGGUCCAGACUCCUACGGGAGGCAGCAGUAGGGAAUCUUCCGCAAUGGGCGAAAGCCUGACGGAGCAACGCCGCGUGAGUGAUGAAGGUCUUCGGAUCGUAAAACUCUGUUAUUAGGGAAGAACAUAUGUGUAAGUAACUGUGCACAUCUUGACGGUACCUAAUCAGAAAGCCACGGCUAACUACGUGCCAGCAGCCGCGGUAAUACGUAGGUGGCAAGCGUUAUCCGAAAUUAUUGGGCGUAAAGCGCGCGUAGGCGGUUUUUUAAGUCUGAUGUGAAAGCCCACGGCUCAACCGUGGAGGGUCAUUGGAAACUGGAAAACUUGGGUGCAGAAGAGGAAAGUGGAAUUCCAUGUGUAGCGGUGAAAUGCGCAGAGAUAUGGAGGAACACCAGUGGCGAAGGCGACUUUCUGGUCUGUAACUGACGCUGAUGUGCGAAAGCGUGGGGAUCAAACAGGAUUA
rnacentral:rRNA from 1 species